UAGGGAAUCUUCCGCAAUGGACGAAAGUCUGACGGAGCAACGCCGCGUGAGUGAUGAAGGUUUUCGGAUCGUAAAGCUCUGUUGUUAGGGAAGAACAAGUGCCGUUCAAAUAGGGCGGCACCUUGACGGUACCUAACCAGAAAGCCACGGCUAACUACGUGCCAGCAGCCGCGGUAAUACGUAGGGGGCAAGCGUUGUCCGGAAUUAUUGGGCGUAAAGGGCUCGCAGGCGGUUUCUUAAGUCUGAUGUGAAAGCCCCCGGCUCAACCGGGGAGGGUCAUUGGAAACUGGGGAACUUGAGUGCAGAAGAGGAGAGUGGAAUUCCACGUGUAGCGGUGAAAUGCGUAGAGAUGUGGAGGAACACCAGUGGCGAAGGCGACUCUCUGGUCUGUAACUGACGCUGAGGAGCGAAAGCGUGGGGAGCGAACA
rnacentral:rRNA from 1 species